rfam:Gossypium hirsutum cultivar TM-1 unplaced genomic scaffold scaffold3306.1, whole genome shotgun sequence
UGUUAAAAAUUUCAUUCAUUUUUACUGUUAAAAGCUGGUGUAGCUGACAUAAUAAGCAAAUAAUUACAUGUGAUUUGUCAUGUGUACCUCAUCCUGACGUACAAGGAUAAAUUUUUAACAGUAAAAAUGAUAGAAUUUUUAAUA